AGAGUUUGAUCAUGGCUCAGAAUGAACGCUGGCGGCAUGCCUAACACAUGCAAGUCGAACGAAGCCUUCGGGUUUAGUGGCGCACGGGUGCGUAACGCGUGGGAAUCUGCCCCUUGGUUCGGAAUAACAGUUGGAAACGACUGCUAAUACCGGAUGACGACGUAAGUCCAAAGAUUUAUCGCCGAGGGAUGAGCCCGCGUAGGAUUAGGUAGUUGGUGUGGUAAAGGCGCACCAAGCCGACGAUCCUUAGCUGGUCUGAGAGGAUGAUCAGCCACACUGGGACUGAGACACGGCCCAGACUCCUACGGGAGGCAGCAGUGGGGAAUAUUGGACAAUGGGCGAAAGCCUGAUCCAGCAAUGCCGCGUGAGUGAUGAAGGCCUUAGGGUUGUAAAGCUCUUUUACCCGGGAUGAUA
rnacentral:rRNA from 1 species